rnacentral:rRNA from 1 species
UACAGAGGGUGCGAGCGUUAUUCAGAAUUACUGGGCGUAAAGCGUGCGUAGGCGGCUAUCUAAGUCGGGUGUGAAAGCCCCGGGCUCAACCUGGGAAUUGCAUUCGAGACUGAAUAGCUAGGGUACGGUAGAGGGAAGCGGAAUUUCCGGUGUAGCGGUGAAAUGCGUAGAUAUCGGAAGGAACAUCAGUGGCGAAAGCGGCUUCCUGGACCGGUACCGACGUUCAGGCACGAAAGCGUGGGGAGCAAACAGG